GCUUCGAUGAUGUUAAUACUGAAAAAUUAAGAUUGAGAAUGAAGGAAAUAAACAUGGAUGAAGUGCUCAAUUUUGACCCUCGUUGUAUCAAAUGGGAAGAUUACUUAAUGAAUAUUCACAUUCCUGGAGUUGUGAAGUACUUGUUCUAGGGAUCUUAUUUAAGCUUAUGUUUUACAUUAAAUUUUAACUGAAAAAGUGAAAAGGAAGUCAAUUGGCAUGAGUGCUUUUUUUUCUGAUUUAUGGUAAGGUCAUUGAGCCUCUGAGCCCAGUUGAGUGUGAAACCAGUUGGAUUGGACCAGAAAUAAAGUUAUUAAUGGGCAAAUUUAUGAACAUUUCAGUUGGAUCAAUUAACACUUCACAUUGCAGCCCAAGUCAACUUGGGCGGUAAGAAGAGAUUUUGGAAUAUAAAUUGCUACUUUUUUUUCUUCUUUCCGGUAUCUACAUUGAAGGAGGGAAACACUUCUUUUCAAGAAUUUUUUCGGACUCGAAUUCGAAAUCUCUAAUUAAGAAAAAGUCAAACACCAUAUUCUUUGGGAGUAAAUACUUGCAACUAAAAAUACAUAUUCCACAAAAAAACAGGCAAAUGAAAUUAAUAAGAAUUUUCAUUCACAGAAUUGAAGACAAGGCUUUAUUAAUCAAUCUCAUAAUUAGUAUUCUUGUCUUGAAAAAAAAAUCAAAAGCACUUAUUUUUAGGAGAAUCUAUUUUACUUUUUUUAGCUUUUGCUUAAGAAUUGAACAAUUGUUUUUACUAUAUUUUAUAAAGUAUAACCAAACACCCUAAUCAGCUCUAAAAAAAAGUACUUUUUUUGAAAGUAAAUACUUCUCAUUAUUGAGAAGUUUGGCCAAGCAAUUAUUAUAUAUUCCACGUUUCUAAUUUAUUACUAUUCUUUUAUGUAUUAUAGGUUUGGUUAGCUAAGGGUUUGGCCAAAAUAUGUUUAGGCCAUGCUAAGCUACUCUUUAUCUAGACUAGAUGGUGAAAUUAGCUAUAUGAAUUUCUCUUCCUUAUUUAUUUCUUAGCUUUUGAUUUUCACUACUUUUACUAUCAAACUUUUUAUGGAUACCUACUUCACAAGUAAUCUGACAGUACAACAUUUUAAGGAUAUCAAUCAUAGGCUAUUGUUUGUACACAUGAUUUAUGAUUUGCAUGGUAGCUCAUUUCGAUUCGAUUCAUUUCAGUUCAACUAACUUUUGAAAAAUCAAUAACAUAUAAUUUAUUAAUUUAGUUUAUUUUAGUCCGUUCAAACACAAUCUAAUCCGCUCUUUUAAUACCUCUUAUAUCAAAUAGUGCUUUGUGCGUUGUCAGUUUAAUUUGGGUUCAUACAUACCAUAUUCAAUCGAAGAAAAAUCAUUUUCUUCUAUUCAAUUUGUCGGGUCCUCUCAUUGAGGCUAUUUGGUUGUUACUUGUUAGAAUUGUUUCUCCUCCGUAUUUAUCGAGAAGAUCAGGCUAUUUAAUAGCUAUAACCGAAUCAAAGUUUAAAGUCAAGAGAAUUGAAUUCAAAAUAAUUGUAAUCUUAUUAUAUAUAGCAGAUACAUCUGAAUAUUUGUGUAUCUAUGGAUCGGAGUAUGGACCCAAAAAAAAAAAUAUGUCUAUGAUUUCUAGUAUGUAGAACCUAGGUAAGUAGAUAGAUAUCAACGUAAACCUGCAUUAAAUGGAUUAAUAUUAGCAUAAGAUAAAGGAAGAGGUAUAUUUGUGUUCAAUUUUUUUUCGAGACUAAUUGUAACUGGGAUUUUUUUUUUACCAGAAUGGUAAAAUAAUAUAUUUCACAUUAUUUUAUUUUACAUUUUUGAACAUUUUUACCCUUUUAACUCUAAUACCUUUUAAUUAAUGGAAAAAAAGAUCAAUUUAUUUUAAAAUAAAAAGGAUAUUAUAGACUUUUUAAAUUUCUAGCCAAAUUCUGAGGCUGUCCCAACAAUCAGGGGUGUAUUUCUUGGAAGACUCAAUUCAUUAGAUAAGCCUAGUACAUAAUCACUGAUAGGAUCAUUCCUAAAAUUAACAAAUAAUUAAUGGGCACACUUUGAAGCAAGUUGAUCCUAGAAGACUAACCUCGUAGCUCACUUAGAUCAAUCAGUUCAAGCAUUGACAAACCCGGGGUUUCACGAGUUCACGUGAAUUCAUGCUUCUCUUCCGAGAUUAUAUAUAGUAGUGUUAUGAGAUUAGAAACUUAAAUCUUAUAUAUUUAUCUUCUUCUCUUUUUUUCUUUUUAAAAUUGAAUAAUACCUUUCUAAGUGGUUGUUGCUAGCACUUUCGGUAAUAGUGCAUUGCAUCCUCUCGAAAUCCUUAAUAUCUCUUUGCUCUAUAAACCUUUUGUACAAGAAUUCCUCUUUUUGUUAUAUUUAUAGCUUUCAUUUUAUGACGGAAAAAAAAGAGGCUUCUACGUGUCUUGCAUGAGUGAAAAACACGUGAACAAUUAAUUGUGUAAAAAAUGUCAAAAGGACACAAAUUAAUUCAAGUGUCUAAGAGAAAAUUGAUAUUAACUUCAUGAAGCUGACAUGGUUCCGCCUAUAUAAUAAGUACAAAAAUCCAUACAUCAAUUACAAGUUGCACUUUCAUAGAACGAAAUUGUAGUCAUCUGAAUUAGCCAAAAAUAGUUAAAUCUCCCUAAUGGAAUCACGUACAAUUGAGCAGUUCCAAGGCAAGACUAUUUUGAUUACCGGUGCUACCAGUUUCCUUUCAAAGCGUACUCUCUCUUCUCUCUUGUUAUAUAAAAUCUGUUUAAUUAAAGUACUAAUUACUUAAUUCCUGGGAAUUAACUAAAUUUGCAUUUGUUUUGAUAAUAUUGACAUAUGCAGUUCUUGUGGAGAAGAUAUUUCGUAUUCAACCAAAUGUGAAGAAAGUCUACCUUCUCAUUAGAGCUUCUGACUACAACUCUGCCAGAAAACGCUUCACUAAUGAGGUAAUUAAGAUGAGUUUCUUUUAAAUUAUAUUUGAUUGUAUAAAUAUAUUUUACAUCGAUAUUGAUAGUGAAUAGAAAUUAAACUCACACGUACGUAUAGGUCAUGAUGUCUGAAUUAUUCAAUAGUAUAAGGGAAAAAAUGGGUAGUGUAUACUUUUGCUCUCUCGUGGAGGAGAAAGUGUUUGCAAUUUCAGGUGACAUUUCACAAGAAGAUAUGGGAAUUAUAAAUUCUCAAUUGAGAAACGAGAUGUACAAAGAAAUUGAUAUAAUCAUAAACUCAGCUGCAACCUUUGAUGAAAGGUACAAAUAUAAAAUUGUUAAUAUAGUUUUCAAGUUUCUUUUUAAAAAAAAUAAAUUAAUUAAGAUAAUUUUAUUUUCUCUAAUAUUUCAUUUAAAUUUUGUUUAAAUAGAUAUGAUAUUGCAAUGAAUGUCAAUGUGGUGGGUGCCAUGAAUGUUCUCAAGUUUGCAAAGAAUUGUACAAAAGUGAAAAUGCUUCUUCACGUAUCUACCGGUAAGUUAAUAGUACUGUUUAGUCAAUUUGGUUAUCAAUUUUAGAUUGAUUAAAUUAAACAUGUGAAAAUGAAUUGAAUUACUUAAUAAAUAGGAGAUUACUAACCUGCCCAAACUUAAACGAAUUGUGCAGCUGGCCUUGUUUUGAUGGGCUAAUUUUGCUGCCCCAAUUUAUCAAAUAUAUACUAGCAUUAUAAAUUUUUUUGCAUGAUAUCAAUUUUAUCGAAUUAAUCAUUAUCUGACAUUUUUAAAAAAAAAAUAUUAUUAAUACAUAAAAUUUAAAUUCUUUAUUUUAUAUACAGCUUAUGUUUGCAGCAAAACAACAGAAAUUGUACGUGAAAAACCAUUAGUUAUGGGUGAAACAUUCAACGAAAACUCUUAUUUGGAUAUGGAUGUGGAAAGGAGAGUGAUAGCAAAUAAAUUAAAGGAACUUGAAACUCAAAAUGCAACACCAAAGGAAGUUACGACAGCCAUGAAAGAACUUGGCAUUCAAAGGUUAUUACUCCUAGAUGAUAUAUAUAUGAGAUAAAUUCAACAAAGGAAGUGCAACAAAUUCUUAAGUUCAUUAUUCUUGUAAAAUUGAAAAUAUUAGCAUACAACUUACUCGAAAUAAUGGAUCGUUAAUUAGGGCAAAGUUACAUGGAUGGCUAUACACAUAUAGCUUCACAAAAGCAAUGGGAGAGAUGAUUUUGGGACACUUGAAGGAGAAUUUACAGCUUGUUAUCAUACGUCCAACGAUUAUAACUAGUACCUAUAAAGAACCAUUUCCGGGAUGGAUUGAAGGUGUAAGGUAAGUAAAUACUUAUAGACACAAUAUAAUAUUACUUUUUGAUUUAGGUUGUUAAAAACAUAAUUAAACUAAUUAAAUCGUGUUAUCGUUUUUUUUUUUUUUUUUUUGCUAAAUUUAGAUAGAUAUAUCUUUAUCCCUUCUUAUAUUAUUUUCUAAUAACAGAACAUUGGAUGCAUUUAUUUUGGCUUAUGGAAAAGGUGUUUUGAAUUUCUUCUAUGGUAAUCCUGACUCAAAACUUGAUACGGCAAGUUAUUUAAUUUCCUACUUUAUAAUUAAUUUCAACUUGGUGAUUAUACGUCUAUUUUAAGGCUAUUUUUUACCUUUUAAUUCCAUCUUUAAAAUAUAAAGGCCAAAGUAAAUAUAUGAAUAGCUCCUAAAGUUGAUGCAUUCUCUUUUUCUUUUAUACAUUUCAACUGACAAUUAAACAUUUGACAUAUGCCUAAACGCUAUACAGAUUCCAGGUGAUCUGGUGGUGAACGCAAUUUUUGCAGCGAUUUUAGCACAUGAAAAUAAUCAAUGUUCUCAACAAGUGCUUAUUUAUCACAUCAGCUCUUCUUCAAGAGGCCCUCCAAGAAAUUCAGAUAUAAAACAUUUCAUGUUUCACUACUUCACAAAGAAUCCAUGGAUUAACAAAGAUGGGAAAACUAUCAAAGUGACAAAGCCUAUAUUAUUUAGCAAUAUAUCAAGCUUUCGAAGACACAUUUCAAUUCAUUAUUCCCUGCUGUUAAAGGUUUUUAUUUAGUAUUGUCCUUACUAAUCAUUUGGUUUAUUAUUAACAAAAAUAAUUGCACAAUAAAAUUUUGUACAAGUCAUAUAACGUUUGAUUUGUCAUAUGUAUAAGAAAAAAUCAUCGCUACAUACCUUAAUGUGGAGCUUGAUACUCUUUAUAUAACUAGUAUGUGAACAAUUGACAAUACUUUAAAAGUGUAAUUAUCAAAUUCUUUAGAUUUUUUUCAAGUUGUCUUUCAAUUGUAUUGCUAACUCAUGUUAUAAAAUGUUUCAGAUGCUAAAGUUUGUGAACCUAGUGUCAUUUCAUCGAUUUGAUAAAACAUAUGAAAAUAUGAAAAUGAAGAUGUGUAAGGCUAUACGUCUAUCUGAAUUAUACGAACCCUACAUGUUUUUUUAUGAAAGGUAUGCAUACGUUGUAACUUUUAUUUUGUUCAAUAUUUAGCAUUACAUAUAACUAAUAAUCCAAGAAUAUUAAUGCUAAACAAUUAUUUUUUUCAGCUUCGAUGAUGUUAAUACUGAAAAAUUAAGAAUGACAGUGAAGGAAAUCAACUUGGAUGAAGUGCUUAAUUUUGAUCCACGAUGCAUUAAUUGGGAGGAUUACUUUAUGAAUACUCACAUUCCUGGAUCUGUGAGAUACCUGUUUUAGGGAUUAUAUAUAAGCUUUUUCUAUAUGUAUGCUUAAUUAUAAGAUUUACUUUAGCGCUUUGAUAAUUAAGAAGGUUGUUUAAUUUAUGUGUACUCGUCAUAUAUUUUCAAUCAGGGGCGGAAUUAGCAUAUAUAAUGCGUGUUUUUGGAAAUCUAAUAAUUUUUGUGCGAAU
rnacentral:lncRNA from 1 species